rnacentral:rRNA from 1 species
CCUACGGGUGGCAGCAGUGGGGAAUAUUGCGCAAUGGGCGAAAGCCUGACGCAGCCACGCCGCGUGAGUGAUGAAGGCCUUCGGGUUGUAAAGCUCUGUCGGGAGGGACGAAGGGGAAACCCUGACGGUACCUCGCAAGAAAGCACCGGCUAACUCUGUGCCAGCAGCCGCGGUAAUACAGAGGGUGCAAGCGUUGCUCGGAUUUACUGGGCGUAAAGCGUACGCAGACGGCUGAAAAGGUCGGACGUGAAAGCCCUGGGCUCAACCCAGGAACUGCGUCCGAAACCGUUCGGCUCGAGUAUGGGAGAGGGAAGCGGAAUUCCUGGUGUAGAGGUGAAAUUCGUAGAUAUCAGGAGGAACACCGGCGGCGAAGGCGGCUUCCUGGCCCAUUACUGACGUUCAGGUACGAAAGCGUGGGUAGCAAACAGGAUUAGAUACCCGAGUAGUC